CCUACGGGGGGCAGCAGUGGGGAAUAUUGGGCAAUGGGCGCAAGCCUGACCCAGCCAUGCCGCGUGAGUGAUGAAGGCCUUCGGGUCGUAAAGCUCUGUGGGGAGGGAAGCGGUACCUCCUUAGCAAGCACCGGCUAACUCCGUGCCAGCAGCCGCGGUAAUACGGAGGGUGCAAACGUUGCUCGGAAUCAUUGGGCGUAAAGCGCACGUAGGCGGCCUGUUAAGUCGGAUGUGAAAGCCCUGGGCUCAACCCAGGAAGUGCAUUCGAAACUGGCAGGCUUGAGUAUGGAAGAGGGUUGCGGAAUUCCCGGUGUAGAGGUGAAAUUCGUAGAUAUCGGGAGGAACACCAGUGGCGAAGGCGGCAACCUGGCCAUACUGACGCUGAGGUGCGAAAGCGUGGGGAGCAAACAGGAUUAGAUACCCUUGUAGUC
rnacentral:rRNA from 1 species